GAUAAACGCUGGCGGCGUGCUUGACACAUGCAAGUCGAACGAAGUUUUUCUUUCGGGAGGAACUUAGUGGCGGACGGGUGAGUAACGCGUGGGUAACCUGCCCUGUACAGGGGGACAACAGCUGGAAACGGCUGCUAAUACCGCAUAAGCCCUUAGCACUGCAUGGUGCAUAGGGAAAAGGAGCAAUCCGGUACAGGAUGGACCCGCGUCUGAUUAGCCAGUUGGCAGGGUAACGGCCUACCAAAGCGACGAUCAGUAGCCGAUCUGAGAGGAUGUACGGCCACAUUGGGACUGAGACACGGCCCAGACUCCUACGGGAGGCAGCAGUGGGGAAUAUUGCACAAUGGAGGAAACUCUGAUGCAGCGACGCCGCGUGAGUGAAGAAGUAUUUCGGUAUGUAAAGCUCUAUCAGCAGGAAAGAAAAUGACGGUACCUGACUAAGAAGCACCGGCUAAAUACGUG
rnacentral:rRNA from 1 species